rnacentral:rRNA from 1 species
AUGGAAACCACAGUAGCAGAUCCAAUACCUCAUGGCAAUGAAACUGUCCAGACUAAGUCAAAGUUGCAAGAAGAUGUUUAUGAGGAACCUACUCUAAUUGAUGCUAAGUUGAGACAACAAGAUAUGGAGAAAUUCACUUGUGUUAGUCAACUAUGUGACUGGUGGAAUUUAGUCGUGGCACCAAUUUCCCACACUUGUGUUACAACUGUAUCUGGGAUAUUUGUCAAGAAGAAAUCAUUAGCUCCACCGGUGGUUGCCUCUAUCUCAGUUAAAGAGAGUAUCUCAGAGAAGAAUAGUGAAGAUGAGAUUCCAACUCCUGCACAUACAUCUAAGCAAGUCGGAGACAUUCCAAGGAGAGAGAUACAAGAGGUUGAGUCAAAUUUGGAAGAGUUGAUACUUCAAUAUCCUGAGAAGAUCCCACGUGUUGCUGAGCUGCAUGACUGGUGGAAGUCAUCAGUGUCAUUGUUGAAACUUAGCAGUGAUGGUGAUGAGGAGAAUAUUGCUCAGAAAGACAGCGAGGUAGUGAUCUCAGCACCCCUACCAGAUCAUGUUAGUGCAUAUUCACAGAUGGGGACACUUCAGACUCAAUUAGGUGUUGCUGGUAGUAGCACCAUAGAAGAUCCAGAGGAAGAGAGAUCUCAACUUGAAGAAGAAAUACUCGAAGACGAGGAACAAGAUGAUCCAGAGCUCGAACAACCAAGUGAUCAAGUUGAAGAUUCAUCAUCUACUACUCUUGAAGAAGCAAAAGAAGUUGCUGUAGAUGAACUUGAAGAACCAGAAAUUCAUUUGCCUAUUGUCAUACAAGAGCGUGAUGUAGCAGGUUUAUCUAAUCCUCUUGAUGGCAUGCGUCCCUAUGACUUAUUUGCUUCUACCUUGCAUUACAUGAUACCAUCAAUUAAGGUAGAUUUGAGAAAGUAUUUGCUUGGAUAUGAUGAUAUAUACCAUGUUCAUGGCAUUGCUCACAUUUGUUACGAUUACACUUAUUUUCCUCAUGCUAGACCCAUGCUUAAUGAAACAUGUCAUUCUCAUGUUAGUAUGGAGCUUAAUGAUUCAUAUCAUCUUCAUGCUAGCAUUGAGCUUACUGAUUUCCACCAUUCUAAACAUGUGCUUUAUAGCUAUGCUUAUGUAAUUGGGUACUCUAUUGAUGAUUUAGAGGGCAUCUACCCUAUCACUUGUAGUUGUUGUUUGUGUGAGUCCUAUUUAAGGUUUUUGCUUGUGCAACAAAUCAAUACAUGCUGA